AUGGAGAUGAUUCACAAGGGAUCCAUGGACUUUGUGCUGGUCCCUUGCGGGCUUGCGAUCAUGCUCGGCUACCACCUCCUCCUCCUCUACCGCAUCCUUCGCCAUCCGCACACCACCGUCAUCGGCUACGAGAACCACAACAAGCUCGCCUGGGUGCAGCGCAUGGUGCAGACGACGGCGCCGGAGGAGGCGGCCCUGGCGCUGAGCGUGAUCUCCGACAGCAUCUCGGCGUCCACCACGCUGGCGUCGCUCUGCAUCGCGCUGGGCUCGCUGAUCGGCGCGUGGGUGAGCAGCAGCGCCGCGCCCUCGGAGCCGCUCACGGCCGGCGGCGACGGCGGUGCCGGCCAGCCGACGACGACGGGGAUGGCGUCGGCCAAGUUCACGUCGCUGCUCGUCUGCUUCCUGGCCUCCUUCGCCUGCUUCAUCCAGUCCGCGGGGCACUACGUGCACGCCAGCUUCCUCAUGACCGCGCUGGGGUCGGACGCGCCGGCGAGCCACGUGCAGCGCGCCGUGAUCCGGGGCGGCAACUUCUGGGCGCUGGGGCUCCGGGCGCUCUACUUCGCCACGGCGCUGCUCAUGUGGGUGUUCGGCCCGGUGGCCAUGCUCGCCUGCUCCGUGCUCACGGUGGUCGUGCUCCACCUGCUCGACACCAGCUCCAUGCCGCUGCACCACCACCAGUUCCUGGACAGAACGAGCGGCACUGGGGGAACCAGAGCGGCCAGCGCUCCGAACCCGGGGCUCCAUAGCGCGGUCGCGGUGUUCUCGCCGGUGCCGUAUCUCAGGUGA
rnacentral:rRNA from 1 species